UCAUAUAUUAGACCAUAUUUUUCCUCAUUUAUUGUGUUUAGUUUUAAUAUUUGAUUAUAGAUGCUCCCUGAUCCUUGGAAGUAAUGACUUAUUUAUUAUUUAUUAUUUUUUGAAGAAAAAAGAAUUGGAAGUCGAGCUGGUGAAUGUAACAGGGGCAGCUAGGCCAUGUCGCAAAAUAAGGUCUGAGCAAGACAAGGAGCCAGAAAAGGAGGUUGUAUCUGAAGUUGUGGGUGCUGGCCCAUCUGAGGAAUCUACAUCUGAUGCUCCUCAGGAAAUAGAUGAGUAUGAGCUCGUUGAUCCUGUUGAUAUAUUGGCUCCUUUGGAGAAUUCUGGAUUUUGGGAUGGAGUGGUCAGUCUUCUUUCUUCUCUCCGUCAAACUAGUUCAAUUUUUUUUUUUGGUUGUAGUGAUUUAAUUUAGGAAUAUUUGGUUUUGAUGUUCCUGUACUGCUAUUAACAUCUUGUGCCUUAUGUCACAGAAAGCAACCAAUUGGUCAGAACGGAAAGAGGCUGUUGCAGAGCUAACCAAGCUUGCUUCAACAAAAAGAAUAGCACCCGGUGAUUUCUCAGAAAUCUGUCGGACACUAAAAAAGCUCAUAACAGAUGUUAAUAUCGCUGUAGCAGUCGAGGCAAUUCAAGCUAUUGGCAAUCUUGCUCGGGGUUUAAGAACUAAUUUCUCUGCAAGUUCACACUUCAUAUUGCCAGUUUUGCUGGUAUGUUCAUUUUUUGCUAGCUAAAAAAAUAAUAUUAUAUCAACUUAAAAUGCAAACAGAUUGUUUGAAUGUAACCAAGCUGUUCAAGUGUUCAUUUACUUUUUGCCAGUUACUUACAACUGAGCAUGGUGGUAUUUUUUUUUUGGAUUUUGACUUGUACAUUCAUUUUUCUU